UGGUAACAGAGCCUAAAUUCAUCCCGAUACCAGGCGGCUCUUUGCUUCCGAUGCUGCCAUGAGCACCAGGCUCCUCUGCUGUGUGGCCCUUUGUCUCCUGAAAGCAGGCCUCAAGGAUGCUGUAGUCACACAGUUCCCAAGACACAAGAUCUCUAGGACAGGAAGAGAAGUAACUCUACAGUGUUCCCAGAAUAUGAACCACCUUGCAAUGUACUGGUAUCGACAAGACUCAGGAUUGGGGCUGCAGCUGGUCUAUUACUCACGCAAUACUGACAUCAUUGAAAAAGGAGAUGUCCCUGAGGGGUACCGUGUCUCCCGACGUGAGAAAGGGCAUUUCCCCCUUACCCUGGAGUCUGCCAGUGCCAACCAGACAUCUGUGUACCUCUGUGCCAGCAGUGAAUCCACAGCACCACACAGCCACUUCCUCUCUGCUCAAAAAGGGGCAAACCAAGGAGGGGUUGCCCUGCCCUCCACAUCCCUCCUCCCAACCUGGAGAGGUUUCCCUGGGACUGCACCAAGCCCCACCCUGCACUUGAUAUUCCCAGCUCCCCUUUCCCUGUUCUUGUCCUUCCGGGACACCUUUCCUAUUGAAAUCAGUCUUUGCCCCUCCUCGAUAUCCCACUAA